rnacentral:rRNA from 1 species
GAUGAACGCUGGCGGCGUGCCUAACACAUGCAAGUCGAGCGAACGGACGAGAAGCUUGCUUCUCUGAUGUCAGCGGCGGACGGGUGAGUAACACGUGGAUAACCUACCUAUAAGACUGGGAUAACUUCGGGGAACCGGAGCUAAUACCGGAUAAUAUUUUGAACCGCAUGGUUCAAAAGUGAGAGACGGUCUUUCUGUCACUUAUAGACGGAUCCGCGCUGCAUUAGCUAGUUGGUAGGGUAACGGCUUACCAAGGCAACGAUGCAUAGACGACCUGAGCGGGUGAUCGGCCACACUGGAACAGAGACACGGUCCAGACUCCUGCGGGAGGCAGCAGUAGGGAAUCUUCCGCAAUGGGCGAGAGCCUGACGGAGCAACGCCGCGGGAGGGAUGAAGGUCCUCGGAUCGUAGAACUCUGUUAGUAGGGGAGAACAUAUGUGUAAGUAACUGUGCACAUCUUGACGGUACCUAAACAGAAAGCCACGGCUAACUACGUG